UGCCCUCGAGUCUCAUUUCUUGCCUUACCCGAGCUUGCCUUUCACUUAUAGACUGGACCUUUAGGAUAAUUAGAUUAAAAUCUGAAUUGCUUGUUGGCUUUUAAUAUGGUUGAGAAGAAAAACUAAGCCGUCCUGUCAAUGGCUACAUAUAGUCACCCCAGUUCAAGUUUAUUUGUUCAGACCAUCAGUUGGUCCUUAGUGGCUUUUUUUUCUUUUUUCUGAAGAAGAUUGGCCCUAAGCUAACAUCUGUGCCGGUUUCUCUAUUUUGUGUGUGGGAGGCGGCCACCGCGUAGCUUGAUGAGCAGUGCUAGGUCUGUACCUGGGAUCUGAACCCAGGCACCUGGCCGCAGAAGUGGAGCACAGGAACUUAACCCCUAUGCCAUGCAGGUCAUCACUUGAUAUCCGUCCAUCAUUCAUGCUUUAGUGUAAAUUUUAAUUGGCUUGACAUCCACUAACACUGUCUCAGACUGGACUGAUCUAAGCUAAAAGCAGAUUUCACUGAAAGAGUGAAUACAAAGCGUGUUUGUUUGCUGAAGGAUAAAGGAAGCAGCAAGGAAAAGGUAAUCUUGAAGUCAAAGCUGUGCCCAGGAGGAUAGGCGUGGGUGGACCACACAGUGGGACCUGCUGUGCAGCCAGAAGGAAGUGGUAAGGGCAUUGGGAAACUGAACAGAAAAGUAAGGGGCAGGGCGGCUGAAACAAAUUUCUCCUUGGCAGUUUUGCUAUGUGAAGAUCCCAUAGCCAGCCUCCUGCUGAAGACCGCUUAGCAAGUGGCUUUUUCCAAAAAGUAGGAUCAACCUGCCCCAUCAUGCUACUUCGAAAAGCCUGGAGUAACAGAACAAGGAGAGCAAAAUAAGAGGUUGCAUCAUACUAUAUCAGCUGUUCUUAAAGUGUGGCCUGAGACUAAAACCUUUUCAAUGGAUCAUGUAAUGCAGUCAAACUACUUUCAUAAUGAUAAUAACAUGAUUUGUCUUUAUCAUUCUCA